rnacentral:rRNA from 1 species
AAGGCUUCAGUACGACCCAGUCAGAACUAUAAGUCUCUAAGCCCCGAUGAGUAGGGUGGCGUGCCGGUGUGCGUUGAAGGCCACGACGUGAGUCGGGCUGGAGCCGCCGGUAGUGCAGAUCUUGGUGGUAGUAGCAAGUACUCUGGUGAACCAACCUGGAGCUGUGAGGUCUGGAUCAGGGUUCCAUGUCAACAGUGAUUGAACAUGGGUGAGUCGAUCCUAAGCCAACUGUGAAAGCAGUGACAUUCCGGCAAAGGGGCACAUGCACUCGCGGGUGUGUGUGUCGUGUCGCAGGCUCUCGCGUGUCGCUUUCUCUCUCUACUGGAUGAGGUCUAAUAGUAUUCGCGCGCACACGCGUGAGUGUGCGUGUGUGGCUGGCGGUCUGUUGUAUCUCUGUACCCUCGUAUUANGGGUUGAUGAGAAAAGAAAGUCUGUUAUAUCUCUGUACCCUCGUAUUAGGGGUCGAUGAGAAAAGAAAAAGGGAAAUGGGAGAGAGAUUGCGUGUAAGAGCUCUUCGACGACCCUGCGUCUGGUUCUAUGUCUGGCGAAAGGGAAUGGGGACUUUGUUCCUUGACCGGUCCCGGCACCCUCGAUAGGCUUUGCCAGUCAAUGGUCCAUGCAAAUGGACCCAGGCCACAGCCGCCGGCAGUCGCCCGAGGAAGAGUUUUCUUUUCUGCUUAACGCACGAGAUCAUCCCUGGAAGCAGUUCCGCUGGCGAAAGGGUGCCCCGUUGCGGCAGAGCGCCACGACUGUCGUGCGCGUCUCGGUGUACCUGCCGGUCCGUGAAGACGUGGUCGAGGGUUGCUACGCUUGUAACAAUUGAAACGCCCGACAAGUUCGGGACGGACCGUACCCUAUAUCCGCAUCUGGUCUCCAAGGUUCGUAGCCUCUGCAGAGUCAGACACAUGUAGGUAAGGGAAGUCGGCAAACUCGAUCCGUAACUUCGGAAAAAGGAUUGGCUCUGAGGGCCGAGCUGGGCCGGGCCUUGCCUGCAAAGCAGUACCUAUAGUGACCGGAGUUUCAGGAGUGCGAGGGGCUCUAGUAGCUGCUUGCGCGGGCGUGUUCACGCGCGCUCGUGUGGGCACGAACGAGUCCACCGCUCCGCUCCAACCACGAACGGCUGUGACGGCAAGGGCUCUGGGCGGGAGCGUUCAAACCGUUUGCCCCCAGCGCGUCUGGGGAGGCGGUGCUCCGUCUGACCCAUACGGCUCCAGCGGCUAGCGGCUAACUCAGAACUGUCAUGGACCAAGGGAAUCCGACUGUCUAAUUAAAACAAAGCGUCGUGACGGCCCCUGUUGGGUGUUGACGCGACGUGAUUUC